rnacentral:lncRNA from 1 species
UGGUUAAUGGGGAGUUGGGAUUUAUCAAGUAUAUUUUAUUUUAUUUUAUUUUUUUCAAAAAAUUUUUCUCUCUUUCCAUAAAAAAAAAAUCUGAUGUUGUUUUCCCCUUUCUCUACAUUUUCUGUCAAUUGACAAUUCUUUUCCUUCCUCUUAGUUUUCUAUCACAAUUGUAUUGUUAAAUCUCGAUAUUGCACUUCUUCGGUGUUCUUGUGUGUUUUGGUAAGUGG